ACGGGAGGCAGCAGUGGGGAAUAUUGGGCAAUGGGCGCAAGCCUGACCCUGCAACGCCGCGUGAAGGAAGAAGGCUUUCGGGUUGUAAACUUCUUUUAUCAGGGACGAAACAAAUGACGGUACCUGAAGAAUAAGCCACGGCUAACUACGUGCCAGCAGCCGCGGUAAUACGUAGGUGGCAGCGUUGUCCGGAUUUACUGGGUGUAAAGGGCGCGUAGGCGGGAUGACAAGUCAGGUGUGAAAUCUAUGGGCUUAACCCAUAAACUGCACUUGAAACUGCCAUUCUUGAGUGUCGGAGAGGUAGAUGGAAUUCCUAGUGUAGCGGUGAAAUGCGUAGAUAUUAGGAGGAACACCAGUGGCGAAGGCGAUCUACUGGACGAUAACUGACGCUGAGGCGCGAAAGCGUGGGGAGCAAACAGGAUUAGAUACCCUGGUA
rnacentral:rRNA from 1 species